AAACCAAGGCUAGGGACCGGCCCCAUAGGUCAGACACAUUUCCUUCCGACGGCCCUUCCAUCGGAGGCCUGGAGGGGACGUGACAUCACACGUAGGCGGUACACCCAGGGUCCCAUAAAUCUCCCAGGCAUCAAACGUUCCCUCGCCCAGCUACAGCAACUGGGACACCACCACCGACCAGGUCUAAAGCGGACUCUUUCCCAGGAGCGUGCGCUUGCGCAGAACUUCUUACGUCAUAUUGGAGCGCGCCGACCGCUAAGACUUCUGGGGAAUGGAGUCCCUGUGAGAAGGCCAAACAUUGGGAGCGCGGACGUCAGAGCCUGUGCGCAGGCGCAUUGCUUUCCCGACCUGAAGAGGCGCCGUCUUCCUGGGUCCCGAGCACUCUGUGCCGGAGGACUCUGCCCUUUUCUACAAGGAGAGCACGUAGGAGGGAAUGGCUGCUGUGUCUCCGACUGCCAGAUUCCAGGUGAGGUAGACUUUGUGUUUCUGAAAUACUCUGUUAGUCUCCAGAAUAUAACCACUUUUCUCUCUUUAUGCUGGAGUUUCUUCAAUCAAACCUAACCAGGUGAAUGAAGGACUCCAUAGAGAAUGUGUCUUUCCCAUUUGAUUUGUGGAAUACUUCAGUGACCUUUUCUUGCCUUGAAUGUGUGCCCAUCACCUUGUCACCAGGCACACAGCUACUGUGGCCUUUGCUCUGAGAGAUUUUGCCUAAAAAAUGGUGGUACAGGUAGGCUCGGAUGGCUUAGGGAACAGUUCUAGUCCUGACUUCCAUUCAGUGCAUCCAUCUGAGAGCAGACCCCAAGUAUUCCAGGAACUGUUGGGUUAGGCUGGAGAAUAUGACACUUGCUAUAGAGCACCUCAGUGAAAUAGUAGAGUCCUGAAGAGAAAUGAAUGUGGGUGGAGACAUGUGGCUUGCCUCAUUCUUGCCCAGGGACACAGAGUCUUGAAUUCUAUGCUCUGGCUUAGAACUUCAGCAAGCACACUGGAGAUUCAUCUGGAGUUUUAGGAUUGGGAAAAGAUGCAAUCUUAUACAGUCACAAAGCAUUAGCAUGAAAUGAGGGGAUCAUAAUCUCAUCAAUACCAUCAUUUUAAGGAUUUGUAAAAAAAAAAAAAACAAACCCAGAUAAUUGGUGGAAUUUGAAUAAGGUUAUAGAUUACAGUAUAAUAUCAGUGCUAUUUUCUUGACUUUUAUAAUUAUACUGUGAUUAUACAAGAGAAUAUCCUUGUUCAGAUAGAAGCAAAUGUGGAGGGAACCCUGGGUGGCGCAGCGGUUUAGCGCCUGCCUUUGGCCCAGGACGCGAUCCUGGAGACCCGGGAUCAAAUCCCACAUCGGGCUCCCGGUGCAUGGAGCCUGCUUCUCCCUCUGCCUAUGUCUCUCUGCCUCUCUCUCUCUCUGUGUGACUAUCAUAAAUAAAUAAAAAUUUUUUUAAAAAGAAGCA
rnacentral:lncRNA from 1 species